rnacentral:lncRNA from 1 species
UGCUAAGUUACUGUCUUUCUGAACUGACUCCAAUCUCUCUCCCUUUCUACUCACCCUGAACUCUGCUUAUCUUUCUAGAACUGCCCCUACUCUUUAUCCUUUAAGAAUUUGCAAUGCCUCCUUUUCACCUGUCUCCUAAAACAAGUCUCCUCUGUACUGGGCAAGAAAGGAAGAAGAAUGAAACUAUUUGUGUUAUGGAGCACAGUUUAUCAGAUAAUCCCUGCACUGGAAAGUAUUGUUUACCAGAUAUCAACAAAAUGGUAUUCUUUUUCGUAUUUGACAUUACCUUGAAUAG